CUGGGACCAGAGACGCACUACCUUCCUGAGGCUAGGCAUCCCCUCAUCCCGUCUCCCCUCAGGCUUCCUGGUACCUAUGAGGAGAGACCACAGGUCUGGCUGAGGAUACCUUCAAGGCACCCUAGGUCAGCCUGAGUUGACGACCGUGACCAUGAUGCUCAAGAAACCAGGGCUCAGAGAGGUUAAGCCACUUGCCCAAGGCCCCCACCUGGACGGGACUCUUGCUUUAUAUAUAGGACGCAGGUCCUGGAUCAUUCGGGACUAUGACUUCAUGGCUGUACGUGGGUUACACCUCUGAUGAGGUAUCCGUCCUCCACGAUCCC